rnacentral:tRNA from 1 species
GGCUGCCUGCACCGCCGGGUCGAGUCCCGCGACCUCCGGCGGCGCGGGCGGCAGCAGGCGGACGACGGCGGGCUCCGCCCCGGCGGCGGCGA